rnacentral:piRNA from 1 species
UCUUAUGAUGUUUGUUGCCAAUGAUAGA